rnacentral:lncRNA from 1 species
CCUUCCCUCUUUCUGCUCUGCCAUCUUUAGCAUGUCAACUCCCUCACAACCUUGAGAUGGCUGUCAGAGUUCCAGAUGUCACAUGUACAUAUAACAACUUCAAAAAGAAGACGAGAGACUGUUUCUUCUUGUGCCUCUACAGGAGCGAAAUAAAUUUUCCCAAAAGCCCACAUGCAGACUUCAUCUCGCAUCUCACUACCCCUGCCUAAACAUCGCUGGUGAGAAGAAUGUGGCCCAAAGAUGAGCUGAGACAACCAACAGGUAUUUCUCUAACUGAAGACGGAUCGGCUGUCACUGACACCGUUGUGGAGGGAUCUGUCGGAAAGGAGGAAGGGCAAAUGUCUUCCGUAGAAGAGUUGUCACUAAACAACACUUCAGAGACCCAUUAAAAUCACUGAAUGCAAACAAAUUCAAUU